UACGGGGGGGGCAAGCGUUGUUCGGAAUUACUGGGCGUAAAGGGCUCGUAGGUGGCCAACUAAGUCAGACGUGAAAUCCCUCAGCUUAACUGGGGAACUGCGUCUGAUACUGGAUGGCUUGAGUUUGGGAGAGGGAUGCGGAAUUCCAGGUGUAGCGGUGAAAUGCGUAGAGAUCCGGAGGAACACCGACGGCGUAGGCAGCGCCCUGGACGACACCUGACGCUGAGGCACGAAAGCUGGGGGAGCGAACAGG
rnacentral:rRNA from 1 species